CACCUCAACUGAAAUCUAACCUCCUGAAAUCAUGUGUUGCAACUACUACAGAAACUGCUGUGGGGGCUGUGGAUAUGGCUCUGGCUGGAGUUCCGGCUGUGGAUAUGGUUGUGGCUAUGGCUGUGGAUACGGCUCUGGCUGUAGAUAUGGCUCUGGCUAUGGAACUGGCUGUGGCUAUGGCUGUGGAUACGGCUCUGGCUGUGGAUAUGGCUGUGGAUACAGCUCUAGCUGCUGUGGCUACCGACCACUUUGCUACAGAAGAUGCUAUUCCUCUUGCUACUAAUCAUCACUACAGGUCAUCCUUGGCUUUGCAAUGACCUCUCCAAGAUCAAGUUCAAUUGAAAUCUCCCCUACCCAUUAUCUUCACAUCUAAGUAAAGGUUGACUAUGGUCACCUGACUAUCUGAAUGCAUAUAAGAGAAGCUGUUGGCAGUGGAUGGA
rnacentral:lncRNA from 10 species